rnacentral:rRNA from 1 species
CCUACGGGCGGCAGCAGUGGGGAAUAUUGCGCAAUGGGCGAAAGCCUGACGCAGCGACGCCGCGUGAGGGAUGAAGGUCUUCGGAUCGUAAACCUCUGUCAGCAGGGAAGAACGGUCACUGUGCUAAUCAGCAGUGAAUUGACGGUACCUGCAAAGGAAGCACCGGCUAACUCCGUGCCAGCAGCCGCGGUAAUACGGGGGGUGCGAGCGUUAAUCGGAAUUACUGGGCGUAAAGCGGUCGUAGGCGGUAUGUCAAGUCAAGGGUGAAAUCCCCGCGCUCAACGUGGGAACUGCCUUUGAAACUGGCAGACUGGAGUGUGUGAGAGGAUAGUGGAAUUCCAGGUGUAGGAGUGAAAUCCGUAGAUAUCUGGAGGAACAUCAGUGGCGAAGGCGACUAUCUGGCACAUAACUGACGCUGAGGAGCGAAAGCGUGGGUAGCAAACAGGAUUAGAUACCCCAGUAGUC